UAUGGUAGUUGAAGAGGACACUGGGACGUCACAGGGCAAGGGAGUUGAUGAGGCUGCCUAUGGAGACUUUGCUCACUUGGCCUCCACUGAUGAAGGAGCGACAGACGAGCCAGACGGUUGGGACUGGCACCAGGCGUAGGGGGCUCUGGUACAUGGACCAGGAGGUGCAACCGGACUUGGUGUGUGCUGUGACCAUGGAGGACAAGGAGAAGUAGGCGAUGAUCCAUCAUUGUAGAAUGGGUCAUGUAUCUUUUGAUAAGAUGAGUAGAAUCUUUCCAGAUGUUAUGUGUGGAAUAGGCAAGGGCAAGUUGACAUGUGAUGCUUGUGAAUAUGCAAAACACACACGAGCCUCAUAUGUGAGUAAGGGGCUUAGGAGCAUAUCUCCUUUUAUGCUCAUUCAUUCGGGUGUAUGGACUAGCCCAGUAGUGUCAAUGAAUGGAAAGAAGUAUUUUGUUA